rnacentral:rRNA from 1 species
GCUCGUAGUUGGAUUCAGAAGGUGGGGUUGUGGGUCGGGUGUGGCCCGGCAGCAUUGUCUCCGUGUGCCGCUCCCAAUCAACCCGCGUUUGCCCCAGCCUCCUAUCGCACGGAAACGGAGUCCUGCUGGGGUCUCCUUAACUGGGGGUUCCAGCGCUUCCGCGCACAACGUGCGCUUACGGACCGUCCGUGGACGUUACUGUGAACAAAACAGCGUGUUCAAAGCAAGUGGCUUGCCUGCCCUGCAUGUUAAAGCAUGGAAUAACAAGGCAUCGACCACUCGGCGGUGCUUUUGUUGGUCUUUCCCUCCCGGUGGGAAUGCGCAGGCGUGCACACUGCCGGCCUUCUGGCCGGUCUGGGUGCCGUCUCUUCGAGAUCAAUAGGGGCAAACGGGGAGAUACCUAUUGUGGGGAGAGCGGUGAAAUGCGAUGACCCCCAUAAGAGGAACUUCAGCGAAAGCAGUUCUCAAGACUGCCUUCGUUAAUCAAGAACGAGACUGUGGGGAUCAAAGAUGAUCAGAUACCGUCGUAGUCCACUAGCGUAAACGAUGCCGACUCAUCAUUGGGGGGCAUCUCUAACAAGCGCCCCCCAGUGGUUCUCCCCCCUGUAAGAGAAAUCUAAGUUUAUGGGCUCAGGGGGGAGUAUGGCUGCAAGGCUGAAACUUGAAGGAAUUGACGGAAUGACACCACCAGGCGUGGGGUCUGUGGUUUAAUUUGACUCAACACGGAAACCUUGUUACGACUUA